GCCAGGCUCAGGGCAGGAACGAGAACAAAGGACGCUGGGCAGCAGCCAGGAGUGUGGCCAGAAGUGGGGCACGGAAGCUGUCCAGAGAGCCCUGCCCCGGCCGCACAGCCCUGGGAAGCCUGCGCCACAGCCAGGGCUGGGCCCGGCACGACGACCCUGCUGCUGCUGACUCCCCGGAACCCGGACGUGGCGACCACAGCUGCUGCCAUCUGCACCAGAAAAAGAAUGAUUCCCAACCAACUGAGUCAUACCAGUCAGGGCCAAAAAAGUCUCUUCGAGGAGUUCCCUCGGUGGUCCCUGGUUCAGAGCCCAGGAUGGUGCACCUUAUUGGCCGAGCCCAGAUCACAUGUCCAAGCACAGCAGAUGAAGGAGGCUGGGAGAGAGAGAGGAAAGGAGAGAGCGAGGGAAACAUCAGUGUGAAAAACACGGAUUGAUUGCAUCCCAGAGGCGCCCGUACCCCAAGUGGGAUGGAACCUGCAACCUAGAUAAGUGCCUUGACCGGGAAUUGAACCUACAGCCUUGCGGUGUACAGGACAACGCUCCAACAAACAGACAACCGCUCAGGGCAAGAGAGAGAUUAUUAUUCACAUUUUUGUGGACUAGGACACAGGGUAAGAAAGAUACAGAAAUUUGUCCAAAAUCACAUUGCCAACAAAUGUGCUUUUCUCUGAAGUCCACCAGCGUUUUCCUGAAUUUCGGUGUGCAUUCUCUGUACCACUUUCUGUUUAUCAGCUGACCACCUACACAAUUCUUUGCUUAAUGUUUUACUGAAAUUAGUCCCCAUUUUUACUUUAAUUAAUUUGCUUUUAAAAACAGCUUUAUUGAGAUCUUAAUGCACAUAUCAUUCAAUUCACCCACAUAAAGCACUGUAUUCAAUGAUUUUUCAGUAUAGUCCCAGAGUUGUGUAACCAUUCAUUCAAUAAAUUCUAGAACACUUUUAUAAUAAAUUUAUUUUUAAAAGAAACUGUAUUGUUCCCAUAAAUGGAAAACUUAUGUUAUUUACUGUAAAUGGAAACCAAAACAAAAAUAAAUAAAGCAACGACAAUUA